AUGUAUUCCUCACCCUUCAACAAUGGAGAAGGAGACAUAAGGUCGGUUCAGGAAGAUCUAAGGAGGGAUGAAGUUGAAGAGGUUGUUAUGAAGGAAGAAGAGGAAAGUCCCUUCGGGAUUCACCCUCGAGCCUUCGAGAGGGGUACACUAGCUGGCAUCUCUACUCACCCUGAUCUUCAUCAAGCCAUGGGAUCAUCGAACAAUCAAGCGAGCCUGGAAAUGCAAGAAAAGCUCCCACCAAGGAGGCCCUUACACAGGUUACAUCAUAACAAUUUUCAUAAUUUGAUUCACAAUUAUGGUUUUGAGAACACUCCUCGUAGGCACAUACCGUCCAACUGGGACAUAUCCUAG
rnacentral:rRNA from 1 species